CCUACGGGGGGCAGCAGUGAGGAAUAUUGGUCAAUGGACGAGAGUCUGAACCAGCCAAGUAGCGUGAAGGAUGACUGCCCUAUGGGUUGUAAACUUCUUUUAUAAAGGAAUAAAACGAGGCACGUGUGCCUUUUUGCAUGUACUUUAUGAAUAAGGAUCGGCUAACUCCGUGCCAGCAGCCGCGGUAAUACGGAGGAUCCGAGCGUUAUCCGGAUUUAUUGGGUUUAAAGGGAGCGUAGAUGGGUUGUUAAGUCAGUUGUGAAAGGUUGCGGCGCAACCGUAAAAUUGCAAUGGAUACUGGCAGUCUUGAGUACAGGUGAGGUAGGCGGAAUUCGUGGUGUAGCGGUGAAAUGCGUAGAUAUCACGAAGAACCCCGAUGGCGAAGGCAGCUUACUAAACUGUGACUGACAUUGAUGCUCGAAAGUGUGGGGAUCAAACAGGAGUAGAUACCCCUGUAGUC
rnacentral:rRNA from 1 species